rnacentral:rRNA from 1 species
UACAGAGGGGGCAAGCGUUAUUCGGAAUUAUUGGGCGUAAAGGGCGCGUAGGCGGCUUUGCAAGUGACGGGUGAAAUCCCUCGGCUUAACCGAGGAACUGCCUGUCAAACUGCAUGGCUUGAGACCAGGAGAGGUGAGUGGAAUUCCCAGUGUAGCGGUGAAAUGCGUAGAUAUUGGGAGGAACACCAGUGGCGAAGGCGGCUCACUGGACUGGUACUGACGCUGAGGCGCGAAAGCGUGGGAAGCAAACAGG